UCUUUUCCUGUAGUGUGCGUCAUUGUUGGCAACCCGACUCUCCAGUCUGAUUGCCUUGUUGAGCAGGCUUUUGGCUUGGUGGCGUUCUCUCUAUAUACUAUCCUGAGCACCUGCUCCAUGAUAUUUAUGGGUUUUCUGAGCUCCCUACUUAUACUCUGAUGCAGCAGCGGCGAAAGUCACAAUUGUUUUCUUUAGACUAUAUCAGUUAUUAUCAAAUAGUAUGGAUUUAAAAUGGUGACUCACUAGAUUGACAGUCAAAGGGAACUGGACUUGCUAUUUUUGUCCUGAAGACGUUCAUCGGAGACACUCAGAGCUGAAUAGUCCUUAGAGGAAACCCAGUGGCCUUUGAUCAUUCUAGUAUCUGCGAUGGGACGUUUUAUAUUUAAAGCAUUUAGUUGAUACUUUUAUCUUGAAAAAGACAAGAUGACUCAGCUUAAAUUUUAUAUGUACUAUGAGAAGAAACUUUGGCUUCAAACAAGAGCAAAUUAAAAAAAAAUGUACAGUACAAAGAAAUCCAGGGUGGUGGGGGUGAAUUCAUGGGAAGGUGAUGUUUUUUAUGCUAACAUCCAAAUAUAGGUAGUGACUGUGCUGUUAAGGCCACAGAGGGAAGGUCAUUCCAGCAUUUGGGAGGUAGGGGAGAAGAGUUGGGGCUGGGUGGAGUGCUGAUCAGAGCAGGAAAGGGCCAAGCAAGAGAGGGAAGCAGAGCGUAGAGUGCGAGCAGCGCGCAGGGCUGGAGCAUCGCCUGGAGGUACGGGGGUGCGGCUCCCUCGGCAGCGCUGUAUGCUUGCACCAGGGUUUACAAUCCAUUAAGAACAACCACAGGCAGCCGGGGGGAUGGAGCGAUGCACAGACAUCGACAACAAAGCAAGCGCAAAGGUCUGAGUUUUAAACAAAACAUGGUGUUGCCUUUGCUGGUAAGAUCAUUAACGGGCGUAGGUAAGAUCCACCGGUACGAGAGCUGCACCGCGUAGGGGAGUGAGAUAACACGUGGUGGAGCAAAACAACGAAGACAGCGACAUGGACCGAUAAGAAGAGACUCAACCCACAUUGUAUUAUUUUUUUCUGUGUAAGAAUAUGAAAGACUGGGUCAGGAAAGAGGGUCAGACUUCAUGAACUGGCACAACUGCAUGUUGUUGUCAGGGAGAGAUAGUUUGGCCCAGAGCUCUGUAACGAUCUCCUUUUUCUAAUGCUAUAUUGCUGUUAGCUUUAAUAAAUGCUUGGAUUUGAA